GGAUUCCCCUAGUAACUGCGAGUGAAGCGGGAAAAGCUCAAAUUUAAAAUCUGGCAGCCUUUGGUUGUCCGAGUUGUAAUCUAGAGAAGUGUUAUCCGCGCUGGACCGUGUACAAGUCUCCUGGAAUGGAGCGUCAUAGAGGGUGAGAAUCCCGUCUUUGACACGGACUACCCAGGGCUUUGUGAUGCGCUCUCAAAGAGUCGAGUUGUUUGGGAAUGCAGCUCAAAAUGGGUGGUAAAUUCCAUCUAAAGCUAAAUAUUGGCGAGAGACCGAUAGCGAACAAGUACCGUGAGGGAAAGAUGAAAAGAACUUUGGAAAGAGAGUUAAACAGUACGUGAAAUUGCUGAAAGGGAAACGCUUGAAGUCAGUCGCGUUGUCCAGGGAUCAACCUUGCUUUUGCUUGGUGCACUUUCUGGUUGACGGGUCAGCAUCAAUUUUGACUAUUGGAAAAAGAUUAGGGGAAUGUGGCAUCUUUGGAUGUGUUAUAGCCCUUGGUUGCAUACAAUGGUUGGGAUUGAGGAACUCAGCACGCCGCAAGGCCGGGUUUUUAACCACGUACGUGCUUAGGAUGCUGGCAUAAUGGCUUUAAUCGACCCGUCUUGAAACACGGACCAAGGAGUCUAACAUGCCUGCGAGUGUUUGGGUGGAAAACCCGAGCGCGUAAUGAAAGUGAAAGUUGAGAUCCCUGUCGUGGGGAGCAUCGACGCCCGGACCAGACCUUUUGUGACGGUUCCGCGGUAGAGCAUGUAUGUUGGGACCCGAAAGAUGGUGAACUAUGCCUGAAUAGGGUGAAGCCAGAGGAAACUCUGGUGGAGGCUCGUAGCGAUUCUGACGUGCAAAUCGAUCGUCAAAUUUGGGUAUAGGGGCGAAAGACUAAUCGAACCAU
rnacentral:rRNA from 1 species